rnacentral:misc_RNA from 1 species
GUAGGUGAACCUGCGGAAGGAUCAUUAAAAAGAAAAUCGGCCCCCCCUUGCGGGGUGGCCGGACGGCAAAAGGUCCCCGUUCCGCGGGGGCCGGCAGCCCGAAACCCACUGUGAAAACCCCCAGUUGCUUCGGCAGCCCUCCCUCCGUCGUCCGAUGGUGCGGGGGUCAGCCUGCCGACGGCACCCGUGGAAACCCAUUUUACCUGAAAGGAAGAAUAUACCGUCUGAGCGCGAAGUCUAAUGACUAUAAAACUUUCAACAACGGAUCUCUUGGUUACC